rnacentral:rRNA from 1 species
UACGUAGGGUGCGAGCGUUGUCCGGAUUUAUUGGGCGUAAGGGCUCGUAGGCGGCGUGUCGCGUCGGGGAGUGAAAGCCCGCUGCUUAACGGCGGGUUGGCUUCCGGUACGGGCAUCGCUGGAGUGCGGCAGGGGAGACUGGAAUUCCUGGUGUAGCGGUGGAAUGCGCAGAUAUCAGGAGGAACACCGUGGCGAAGGCGGGUCUCUGGGCCGUUACUGACGCUGAGGAGCGAAAGCGUGGGGAGCGAACAGG